GGGCAGUGGUAGCUCAGUGGUUAAGAUGUUGGCCUACAGAUCGGAAGGUCGCGAGUUCAAAUACCAGCACUGCCCA